GGAAAAUGAGCAAUAUAUGCAAAUGAAUCAAUCUCUCUCCUUUCUAUUUUCCCAAAUAUCCUAGUAUAGAUGGGUGAAUGAAGAAAGGAAGGAAUGAAAAAAAUUAUAUUAAAUACUUAUUAUGUGCCAAGCUCACAUAAUAAGUACCAGAGAUGCAAAUACAUAAAUGAGACAGUGCCUGGUCUCAAAUAGUUUAUAUAAAAUGAAGGAGAAAACACACACACACACAUAUUUGAGUGAUGACUGAGGAAUGGAAUAUUUGUGAAGUCACAGAGAUUAUGACCUAAUCCACAGGAUAAUUACUUGGCCUGACCUUUAUAGGACCAAUGGUGAUAUACCAGUAUUGCUUUAUUUACUUAGUCAGGGAUGAAAAUCAGGUUGAAUGGGUUAUAAAAGAAGGCAUGUAUAUAGCCAACAUAAGCUGCUGAGCUUUGUUUAGACAGCAAGUCCAUCAUGAUGAUAUGAAGAUAAUUCUCAGCCUUCUUUGGAGUGCUUCUAUGGAUUGCCUCAAGUCAAACUGCUAUUUUUAAACUUGUGAAGAAAAUCAGGACAAAAGAAAAUGUUUUGAACAUCAAUAAAAGAGAUUCAGGAAGUUCA
rnacentral:lncRNA from 1 species